UCUGCUUCUGGUUUUGGUUUUACUGGAGAUUACAGUGGCUGCUCUCCUUCCGCACCCACAGUUCCUACUCCUGAGAUGGUUGAAGAUCCCACCUGGUACAUUGACAGUGGUGCAACUAAUCAUAUCACCAAUGAUGCAGGUAAACUUCUUGAACCAAAAUCUUAUAGUGGAAGUGAAAAGUUGCUUGUUGGUAAUGGUUCUUCUCUGCAUAUUAAACAAGUUGGAUCAGUAUUGCUAGCCACAACUACAUCUGAAUCUUUGUUGCUAAGUCAUGUUCUUUAUGUUCCUCAAAUAACAAUUCCAGAUUCUUCUUCAUAACUUUUCUUCGUUUUCUCAUUGUUUUUCUUACUCUCCAAACACAUAAUUACAGAUUCUUUCAUGGUAUCAGAGCAAUCAAUGAUGAGCUCGAAUCAAACCUCUGGAUCUUAUAGUUUUGUUACUCCUGUGAAACUCGACCAGAAUAACUUCAUUGUUUGGAGAACUCAGAUUUUAACAACGAUUAAAGGUAACAGGUUGGAGAGCUUUAUCAAUGGUGAUCGAGCCUGUCCAGAGCAAUUUCUUCCAUCAGCUGUCACUGGAGCUAUUGAUUCAACAAGAUCAAAGGAUUGAGAAAUUAAUCCAGAGUUUUUAGCUUAGGUGAAGACUGAUCAGUUGAUUCUGAGUUGGAUGAUGUCAUCAAUUCAACAAAAUUUGCUGGCAACGGUGAUUCAUUGCUCUACUGCUAAAGAGCUUCUGGACACACUUACUAGUAUGUUUAUCUCACAAUCUCAGGCUAGAAUAAUGCCUCUUAAAAUGCAGAUUCAAACACUUAAAAAAGGCUCAAUGUCAAUGAUUGAUUAUUUUGCUAAAAUGAAAAGGUUAUCUGAUAGCUUAGCUCUGGCUGGAAAACCUGUUGAAUUGAAUGAUUUUGUUCAAUAUGUUUUGACUGGAUUGGAUUCCUCAGAUUAUGAGUCUCUUGUUACGAGCGUCUUAGCUAGAGGUGACAAGAUUAAUCUUGAUGAGUUUUACUCUUUACUGUUAAGUCAUGAGAAUAGAGUUGAGCAGAAGAGAGGCAAAAUUGCUAGUGAUGUUACUCAUAAUUUGUCAGCUAAUAUGGCAUAAAAACAGUUUAAUUCUGGAAAAAAUGCUGGUGGUAAUCCAAGAUAUAAUAAUAAUAUAACUUAUGGUGGAGGUGUCUAUGGAAAUUUUGCUAAUGGAAAUGGUAUGGGACAAUCUGGUGAUGGUAAUUCAACUAUCAUUUGUCAAAUCUGUUUUAUACCGGGUCAUGGAGCUCACAAGUGCAAGAAUAGGUACAAUUCUGCUUUUGUACCUUCAAGGAAUCAAGCAAGAGGAAAUUUUAAUGGCAAUUUUAGGGCUGGUCAAAGGAAUUUUGGAAGGGGAUUUGGAAAUUCAGGUGGCAGAUUUUUUAAUGGUGCUUAUGGCAGAGGGUUUAAUUCUCAAUUUGGCAAUGUCUUUACUAAACAUAAUGCUGGAAAUUUCAAUUUGCCAAGAGGUCCAGGAUAUCAAAGCUAUGUGAUGUGCUCAGAUCCAGCUGCUUUUUAUGUUACUCAACCUGGUAGCUCCACUAAUGCAAGUUCUUCUGCUUCUGGUUUUGGUUUUACUGGAGAUUACAGUGGCUGCUCUCCUUCCGCACCCACAGUUCCUACUCCUGAGAUGGUUGAAGAUCCCACCUGGUACAUUGACAGUGGUGCAACUAAUCAUAUCACCAAUGAUGCAGGUAAACUUCUUGAACCAAAAUCUUAUAGUGGAAGUGAAAAGUUGCUUGUUGGUAAUGGUUCUUCUCUGCAUAUUAAACAAGUUGGAUCAGUAUUGCUAGCCACAACUACAUCUGAAUCUUUGUUGCUAAGUCAUGUUCUUUAUGUUCCUCAAAUAACCAAAAAUUUACUUAGUGUCUCAAAACUUCUAGCUGAUAAUAAUGCUACUAUUGAAUUUCUUGAAAAUUG
rnacentral:lncRNA from 1 species